CCUAAGGGCGGCUGCAGUGAGGAAUAUUGGUCAAUGGGCGAGAGCCUGAACCAGCCAAGUCGCGUGAAGGAUGACGGCCCUACGGGUUGUAAACUUCUUUUGUCAGGGAGCAAUUGGGUCCACGCGUGGGCUUAGCGAGAGUACCUGAAGAAAAAGCAUCGGCUAACUCCGUGCCAGCAGCCGCGGUAAUACGGAGGAUGCGAGCGUUAUCCGGAUUUAUUGGGUUUAAAUGGUGCGUAGGCGGAAUAUCAAGUCAGCGGUAAAAAUUCGGGGCUCAACCCCGUCGUGCCGUUGAAACUGAUGUUCUGGAGUGGGCGAGAAGUAUGCGGAAUGCGUGGUGUAGCGGUGAAAUGCAUAGAUAUCACGCAGAACUCCGAUUGCGAAGGCAGCAUACCGGCGCCCAACUGACGCUGAAGCACGAAAGCGUGGGUAUCGAACAGGAUUAGAUACCCCUGUAGUC
rnacentral:rRNA from 1 species